UACGUAGGGGGCAAGCGUUGUCCGGAUUUAUUGGGCGUAAAGAGCGCGUAGGCGGAUCGCUAAGUCAGGGGUGAAAUCCCAGGGCUCAACCCUGGAACUGCCUUUGAUACUGACGAUCUGGAGAUCGGGAGAGGUUGGUGGAAUUCCGAGUGUAGAGGUGAAAUUCGUAGAUAUUCGGAGGAACACCAGAAGCGAAGGCGGCCAACUGGCCCGAUACUGACGCUGAGGCGCGAAAGCGUGGGGAGCAAACAGG
rnacentral:rRNA from 1 species